rnacentral:tRNA from 1 species
ACUUUUAAUGGAUACCGAGCAAUCCACUGGACUUAGGAUCCACUAUUCUUGGUGCAACUCCAAGUAAAAGUA